UGCCCGCGCACCCGGGAGGCGGCGGAAGGCUCAGGACAACGGUUGCACCCCCCGCGGCGGUCCCUGCUAGCCGGACACCGCUGGCAACCCGGCGCCAAGACGUGCGCGCAAGGGCGGGCGCCCGCGGGCGAGCAGCGUGACGCAGCGACGGCCCGCCCGGGCUUCCGGGGCAUCACCCGGUCGGCGCGGUCGCGGCGCGCCGAGGGCCCGACGCCUGGCGGAGAAUCAGGGUUCGACUCCGGAGAGCGGGCCUGAGAGACGGCCCGCACAUCCAAGGACGGCAGCAGGCGCGGAACUUGCCCAAUGCGCGCGCGCGAGGCAGCGACGGGGAGUGCGCGAGCGAGGCGGGCCCACAGCCC
rnacentral:rRNA from 1 species